AUUUCCAGUGGAUGCAAUAGUGCUGACCAUGUGCACGUGGGGUCAGGAUCUCAGGCCCGCCAGCUGGGCUGCAGCGAGUACCCGUGGCCUCAGGGAAAAGGUCCCCUGCUGCAGGCUGUGGGGGACCUCGGCUCUCACAGUGGCUGUGCCUGAGAAAGCCCCUCCAGACUCGCCAGCCUGGCCCGUGUGUCCUGUCCAGACGGCAGUGUGGGGCUGGUGCUGGUUACAGAUGAUCCUCAAGGAGACAGCACGCAGGCCACCAGGCGCCCCUCCUGCAGCUGGGACAGAGAGAGGCACAGGGAGCCUGGCUCCCUCCAGGUCAGGCUCCACGAGGGCCAACCUAGCGACCCGCGGGAGACGAAGGCAGAUGAGGAGCGGCCCUGCCCCCAAGGGCGCAUCGUGCAGGUGGCCCAAGGGGGUCAUCUGCAUCCUGGUUAAGGGGGAGCCCACCUGCCUCCCCCAGGUCAGGAACACUCCCUGGAAGCCAUGGUGUGGAGCGUCCACCCUGGCUUCGUCCUCCAGCUCAGCUGCUGGGCCCUGGGAAGGGACAGGCCCAGCACCCGUUUAGCCAGGCUGAGCUGCAGGCAGAGCACCCUGCCUAGGAGAGACAAACCCACUGCUGAGGACACACCCUCAAGGUUCGCCCUUCCCCACUUCUGUGUUGCCCUUAGCUCUAAGGUGCUAAUUCCAUCUCUGGUUUCAACAGGCCGAUCGCUCUUAAGGGAAAAUGGGAUUGCACAAUCCGGCUGUGGUGGCCGGGGCUCUUGGUCUCCCCCCAGUAAGAGGAUGGACUUUCCAGCCCUGCUGAUGGUCAGCGGGGACCACAUGGAGGCUUUGGCGGAUGAAAUGGGGCACAAUGACAUAGCUCUGCCCCAGCGGAAGCGUCAGAGCCAUGGCUGGGCUCCACCAGGUUUGCUCCAGCGGCCAUGAGGACCAUGCCCCACAGGCAGGGGCUGCACCUCCACCCUGGUUCCAGAAGGAAGAGGCACAGCCAACAUGCCGCUCGAGCAGGAAACCCUGGGGAAGGUGGGACGUGAGAUCCUGUAUCUGAUACUACAGUGUAACUGGCUAGAAACUGACUCAAAGGGGCACUUUUACAGCAGAAAGAGACGAAGCACACGUGCACCUGCCAUCUUGUGACUGUCAGGCCCCGUCUAGGCGUGGACAGCUCCAUGGUUGUGUUUGAGCCCCACACUGGCCCUGGGGGGUUAUACUGCCCUGGAGGACAGCUGACCUCAAUUCUCCAAGCUUCCAUUCCCCCUUGUAUGGGCACAGCACCCCAACCUUCUUUUGGCAGCUCCCACGCCCCCCAGUGCUGGUGGGCUCUAGGGCUCUGGUCCCUGAUGCUCAGAGGUACAGAGACAGCAUUCAUCAGGGGCUCUGAUCCUCUGGCCCAGUUCAGAUUGUGGUGGGGCCUCAGGACCUUUCCAGAACCUUAGAAGUGGGCAGCACCCUUUGCUGGGACAGACAUGCCUGGAACUCCGGGCAUCGAGCCACUGCUGGGAUAAGCCCACGACAGAAUGAAGUCAGGCAGGCAGAGAGAGCUGCAGGCUGCCUGGCCACUCCUGUUUCCAUGAAGGGCCUGGUGUCUCAUUUCCUACUUACUUUGCACUUUAAGGGCCUCCCGCGGCCUUUGUCACACAUUCUUCUUGUUUUUUGUCCAUUGCAACCUUUUACGGUGGCACAAGCCAUUGUUCUCAAGGCCAACGCGUGAGUCCUGCGGUGAGUUUCCUAUUUGUGUGGCUCGAGAAGGUACCCGGUGCCGACGAAGCCUGGAGAGGCAGGGCCACACUGCAGAGCCUCGGGCCAAGGGUGGCCGUGCUGGGGCAGGGCCCCUCACAUUGGCCUCAUGUGCCCAGAGUUCACUGCCCACCAGGCGGCAUCAGCCUGCGGCUUUGGCGCCCAGAAGUCCUGAAGGGCAGCAAAGUCUCCUGCUCCUGGCUGCUGGCCAGGAGAGCCCAGCUGGGCCCCACCUGAUCAAGAAGAAACGCCUGUGUCCUCUAAUCAGCAUCUCAGUGACAGAGUCACCCCUGGUACAGCAAGUGGGCUUUCAAGGACAUCAGGUGGCUGCGUUCAGGCUGGUACCAACUCCACCCUCAGCUCUCACAGUCUGAGGAAGCCCCCUGAAAAGCCACCGGAGUGGGGCCACAGGUCCCCAUAAAGGCCUUUCCUGCUCCUGAAUAAUUCCCAAGCACCUAGGACUUCCCGGGCCUGGCUCCCCCACCAGCCCAACCUCCGGACCUGAAGACCAAGCAGUGGCCAAAUGUGAGGUCCCUGGAGAAGGAGGAGGAAGAGUGGAAGGGGGUGGAGGGUAACGCAACCAGAGGAAGACGCUGAGGGUCAGACUGGCCCCGGGUCUGACCUGUCGUUGGGAUCAACUACUUUAUUAAAAAACAUCCACCUAAACUGUAGAGACAGAGGAAGGAUCAGUGCUUGCCAAGGGCUGGGGGAGGAGGAACAGGCAGAGCGCAGAGGGUUUCAAGGCAGUGCCGCUCUGCGUGACACCAUCACAGAGGGUCCAGGUCAUCACACGUCUCUCCAAACCCCUAGAAUGCCCAACACUGACUCUGAAGCCUUAUGUCAGUGCAGGAUCAUCUGUUGUAAAGUCUGCACCGCUGUGGUGGGGGCGUGGAUAGUGGGGGAGGCUGUGCGUGUGUGGGGGCAGGGAGUGUAUGGGAAAUCUCUGUACCGUCCGCUCAAUUUGGCUGCGAACCUAAACUGCUCUAAAAAAAGUCUAUUUUUGAAAAGCAUAUGCCCGAAAAGUCCUUGAAAAUGCAUCUUUCCCUAAGUAUUCAAAUUUAUGUUCAUUAAUAAAAUAGCACAUAUUUAUUCU
rnacentral:lncRNA from 1 species